ensembl:lncRNA
GUGGCGUAGCGGCGUCCCGCGGUUCCGAAGGUUUGUGGGCGUGAUAUGUUGGGCGUGGGACAGGUGACGGCAAAGGUCACAAGGCUGGAAUGAAGCCGCCGUCCGCUGCAAGCAAGCCUUGGGCGGUCACGAAGGCUCCCCGUUGCUCAAUGCAAACAGCUCGGUGCUGGGUGCUUGGGCAAUGCCUGCAAUUCAGCGCCCAGAAAGUCUGGAAGAUUAGCCGAGCCGAUCCUCGGUGUCAUUUGCGGCGUAACAGGUGAGAUCUGCUUCCAGAAAUCAUUGCAUUCCAGUGCAAGUUGUGUCGGUCAAGGUCUUUCUCUGAGAUGGUUACAAAGGUCAGAGACCAUUACCACCGAUAUCUUCAUUGCCUUUGUGUGUAUUUCAUCUGUUAUCCUUGUGUGUAUUGGGGUUAUAUCAUGUAUGUAUUUACUUAUUUCUUCCUUCCUUCCCCAAAGGACUUUGUAGUUAAUACCUGUAAAAAAUUAACCUUGACUAAGUGGCUGGGUUACGUAACUUGCAUACCUUUGGAGCACAAUGCUUUGUCUGCAUUAAUCGUACCAGGGUUCUUUAUUUUUUCUUAAGUUUGGUUAUUCAGUCUCGCUUCUGUUCUCUCUCUCCAAUUACUGAUGGCAUCUUCUGAAGCCAGAAUGAGAGAGGAGCCUGCUCAGGAGUGCAACCAAAACUCACUGUGGGAAGGGCUGAAAUCAGGAUGCUAGAAGCACAGUUAUGCGAAGAGAUAGUGGGAGGAUUACAGGGAGGAUAGGAGAAAGUUUGGAGGUGUUAGUAGCUCUGAAUCUCUCAGAUAUGUCAGGGUUUAUGACAAAGAGAAACAAGCAGGAGUAGUGAUGAAAAGCAAGGUGAUGCGGCAGGCUCAUGAGGCACACUAUGGAGGGAUGAUGAGAAGGGAGCUGCCGUGAAUAGCAGAAACAAGUGUGAAAGAGCUAGAAUGGCCCUCUGAAAAGCUGGAAACAUGGAUGGCUUGCAGGGACAUGAAGGUACAGGGAGUGUUGAAAACAGAAGGAGCUGCAACUUAGCAGGGUCUUUGGUGCUUUGCCCUUGGUUUGCAUGGUGUCACAGGUGGGAGGGGAGGCAGAAUGCUGCCCGCUGCUGGGGACGUUUUCUCCAGAAAAGCCACAGAAAGGUCUGAAAACUUACCGCCCCAGGAAAAACUAAAAUCGAUAGUUGGACCCAUAUUGUUGGAGGCAGGGAAGUGUAGCUCUACCGAAGAAACUUGGAAAUGGUAUUUGUGUUUGCGCUCAGAUGACCAAGUGUACGUGCUCUCUAUUUAAUGUGCUUAUUUCAGGUAGCAGAACUAGUAAUUACAAACGAGUGGUUAUGAGUUACAAUGACUGCCUGAGUCACUGAGUAUGUUUGUGACUUCGGAGCUAAAAAUAACCUGAGCUGUCAGGAGGAUCUUAAUUAUAACCUUACUAUUAGAUUUACAAAUAUCAAUAUGAGAUAAAUUUUGGAACACAAACUUUUCCUCUGUUUUCAUUGAAAUUUACCUCCACUGUAUCGAUAUAUUACUAAGUUGUGACUAAAGUGAAUUAUUCAGUGAAUAAAAUGUUCUAAAAUGUUUCCUCUGAAAAAGUAAGAAAAAACCAAAAACAGUGAUGUUUCAUCAAAACCAAAGACUAUUAGCAGAUUUGAACGGUAAUUAAUUUCACUGUAAGAGCACAAAUAAUAGCCAAAGGUUAACCACAGUGACAUCUCCGUAAUAACUCAAAACUCUUGGAGGAAGUAAGGCAGAAAGGAAACCUUUUACUAAGAACCCUGGGUUAAAAAUAUCCUGUCAGUCUACAGACAUUUUAAACCUUAUGUACAAGAUGACUGCUUUUCAAGAAAACAUCAUCUUGGUAAGGAGGAUAUCCUGCCGGGCCAUCUUCAAGACUGGUGGCGAGGCUCUUGACAUAACAUCUGUCCAUUCCUUAUUCCACCCCUGUGAACAAGUCUAACACGUUGAACUUGCUGGUGAUCUAUAGUGAUAGUCACAUUGCAGGUACAGUGAAUUUAGUGUUCCUGAGAGGAUCUGCAUACACCUGCAGUAGGUUUAAGGCAUCUGGUGCUGAGCUAGUGGCUGUGUGCCUGCAAGUCUGCUAAAUCUAGCUCCAGGUGGGCAGCAGGAGUACAAAGGAGUUGGCGGACUGGCCUCCCUCUUCAGUCACAGCUUGCUGUUAGAUUAGUUUCACUGUAACAUGAAAAUGCGCCAUGAGUCAGGAACCUCUGAGUGCUAAUAAUGGCUCUGAUACCAAGUCCACCAGUGGCAGCAAUCAGCUUACUCAUCUGCAGGGUUGGUAUCCAUGAAGUAUGCUUAGUAGUAACUAGGUUCUGGAGAGAGCACUCUAAUGUUCAACUAGAUAAUGUUUACCAAGUAUUAAUUAUUUUAAUUUUCAAAGUGUUGAUUAAAAAUGCCUGAAUGUUGAAUCAUCAUGUUCUAAUUGUGCACUGUCACGUGUCCCAAAGGUUUAUUCAUCCAGUAAACAAGAAGGCAUAGGUUUACUUAUCCAAAAAUCAAGAAAGCUCAGCUUGCGGCCUCAGUAUCUUACUGAGGGUAAAACUUCUUAUCACGAUGCAAUUAUUUGUUGUCGAGGAGAGAAGCUCUGAUUUGGAAGAGCUGUUUUCUCUCCCAUGGAUACAAUCAGCCACGAUUCAGUUCUGCAUAUAUAUGAUAUAAUAUGUGUGUUCACCCUGUCAAAGAGCAACAUCUGACUCAACAUGACUUUAUUACUAAUUCUGCAUUAAUUUUCUACUGCUGUAAUAUACACUCGCAGAGGUAGCAGUGGGAAUUCAGAAGACCCCUAUAGUAACCACCUUGAGAAUGAGUAGUACCGUUGGUGCAGCCAAGUAACUGAUUGUUAGUAACCACCGCUAACGGCUGCAUUCCUGCUGAUAUUUAUCUCAUUAUAUUCCCUAAAGAAAGUGCCAGUAGCAGUUGAAUUUGUAUUUGUGUUAUUGGAAACUUAGCUGUGCACUGACCACUCAUUGAUUUUGUUCUUUGUUUCUAUCUGUGUGAAGUUUAGAAUUUAGUGCCACGGAGGCUGGAAGGGUGUAAAAGGAUCUAGACGUUCACAGCAACUACUGAGGCACAAUGUACACACAGACAACUCAUGUUUCAUCGGUGCAUCAGUUUUCAAAGCCCCGACAAUCUAAAAAGUGAACUUUGGGGGGCUCUGUAUCUCUUCUUUUUUUUUUUUUUUUCCCUUGCACAGCAAAGAAUGUUUGCAGUAAGUGUCCCAGAUUUUAAAGUCAGCAUAAACUGUGUUAUAUUUAGGAUGUGUAAGGCUGCAUGCUUAAAUGCGGAGAAUCAAACUAAGUUAUGCAAAAAAAACCCUUUAAUUUGUGCAAUUCUUUAUCUAUUUUUCUUGUGCAAAUGCCUAUUUUGCAUGUAUAUAUUUGCAAUACAGAUGCAACUUGAAUGCGUUCAUAUGAAAAUGUGGUAUUAUGUAGGAAUUUCUAUGCAGUGGUACAUACUAUCUCCAAGAAAAAAAUCAUAAUGGUGAAGUUCUCUUUCAAGUACAAAUAGCUCUUAAAACAAAAAAAGCCAUGCUUAUAUGAAGAACUUCCUUUGAUAAAUGAUACGUUUGAUAAAGUUCAGAUUCCCGCUGAGGAAAUAGGCUGCUUAUAGAAAUAGAGUUAUACAUCAGCCCAGUUAUCUGCCAAAAUAAUAGAAGUAGAUUGGUUGCAAGGUUAUUUGUGACUCAGAAAUCAGAUAGAAUAUAGGCUGUGGAAGUGAGGUGUGAGGCUAUGGCAGAGGACAAUGCAUUCUUCAUUGAAUCUGCCCCCAGAGAUGUGUCAAAUAUCACACCUUACCCUAGACAGGUUCACUAGGUGAAGCAAAAUACUGAGCAUUGUACUUCACUGUGUAUUCUGCACAACUGCCCUAACAGAUUUUCCACUGUGGUGUUUCUAACAUUUUCAGUAUUGCGCACACACCCAAAUACAUAUUCUAAUUUAUAAAAAUAUAGCAGCACACUUCAUUUUCAACAGCAGCAGGUUUAGCUUUAAGCCAGAGUGCUGGUUUUUUAUCAGGUUUUAAUGAGCCACUAGGCAGAACCAGUACUGAAAUCCUUACAGACACUGGCUGACACUUGCAAUGUCUUCUGCUUAAUGGAGGAGCAAAUUGAAUCAUAAAUCUCAUAUUUUUAUUGCAGUUUCUUCAAUGAGGAAUGGAAACCACCUUUCAAACUUAAGGGUUUCUGCUGCUUCCUUCUCUCUCUAUUAUCUAUGUGUAUAAAGGGUACCCAUAAAAGAAUGUUAUUUGUCCAAGAACAUACACACUUAGAAAAUAUCAAAGAAGUUUGUGUUAAGAAAGUUAAGUUUCACAAAACAAGAAGUUUAUCACUGACAUUUUAAGCUUGAGGUAUGCCUUAAAAUAGAUGCUUCGUCUUAUUUGAGCCUGAGGAUUUGCCACUAUUGGAAGAUAUAUACGUUCUGUGAGGAAUUAAGCAUCUCUGCUUACAUUUUGUAGUUUUUCACGUAUAUUUGUAAGACUUUUUCUACUAACUUAGCAUUUUGGCCUGUAAAAAAGCCUUGGCUCUGAAGUAACAACAACAGAAAAUGUUUCAGUAACCCCUUGGACGUGUGGCACGAAUACAUCACAUUUUUUCCAGUGGGACUACUGUGCUGCUCAAAGCGGUUAGCAUGGCCUGUGGGCUUUCUGAUCUACUGACAGGUGCAGGCAACCCCUAAGUAAUCCACCUAUGUCCUACGCCUUUGUUUGUGUAUCAUUUUGCAUCUUGUUUUGCCUUGCAUUUGCUACAGCAUGUAAGAUCCAUGUACAGUUUUUUAACUCGAACAGAGCUCUUGGUGCUGCAUUUUAUAUGCAUGUAUAUGUAAUACAAGUAGUAAAUAUAUAUAUAUUCAUAUAUAUACAUAUAUAUGAAAUAGUGGCCCAUUUUAUAACAAAUUACCUUCUCGUUGUCAAUUUUUUAAAGUUUAUUUUCUCACACUAUACACACAGAAUUUUCUCUGUCAUUACCACUGGCCAACAUUCAAACAUUUCAUGGACUGUAUGACUUUGUUCGAAUUACUUUGCCAAAGAUUAAGCAUUGUUUUUUUCUGGGUCUGAGAGCUUUAUCUCAAGUAAUGAUUGUGUUUUUCUUUCCACUUGUGCCAUUAAAAAUCCAAGGUUCUUCAGUAAUAAAGCAGUCCCAUACUUCUCAUAGCAUCUUUUUGUUUUGUUCUCUGUUUAGAUAAGUAUUUCUUGACUUAAAGGCAAACUUAAUAUGUCUCAAUUUUAUCAUUAGCUUCCUCUGUGUUAACCAGAACUACAUAUAAUGGUUUUGAACCACAAAGCUCCCUUCUGAUUUUUAACUCUUUCCUGGCAGCUAAGUUGCUUACUGCUGUGGAGCAAGUCUUUACAAAUAAUCAUUCAUUUUUAAAAGAGAGUCUGUGCUGAUGAGUCAUAACUUGAUAUUUCUUUGGUUAUGUUCAUGAUACUCUGAAUUUUUCAGUAAACACUCUGUGUCAAAAAUGUCUGACAAAGAUUCCUUUCAUGUUCUAUCAUCAUUUUGACUGCGUCUAACCUAGAUUGCAUGAUGGAGAUACCCAGCUUAUUUCCAGCCUCAGCAGAUACGUCUGCACCCUGCUCAUGAAGUUAGCAGUGCAGUUUUUGUAUUAAUAGGGGCACAGCUGAGCUGGUGCAGCUUCUGACACUGCAAUUUGGUUGCCAGCAGUUCAACUAUCUCUGCACUAUGCUUUGCUGUGGGAUGGAUAGGUCCUUCAUUGCCUGAACAAAGUCUCUUCAAUCAGGUCAAGUUAGAUUUUGGAGCAAAAAAAAACCAUGAAGUGGCAGAAGCCUUCUUGCAGUUAACAAAUAUGUGUUUCUGUAGAAACACGAGUGGGGGGAAAUUUCAUUCAAAUUGUCAAAGCACGACAUGAAUGUGUUCAGAUACACCUCAUUUCCUUGCAACACCAAGUUAAGGUGUCUAACUUCCAGCUCAAGGAAUCUCAAAAGACUAUAGAGAUUGUGCGUGUGGUAUACGCUGAGUAACUUCACCCAGUAAUGAUGUACUGUGGAACAAGGAAUGUAGCAGCCCUAGACAUGAAAAAGAAAACAACAGAAAAAGAAGAGUAUUUAAUGCAAAUUAAAUGCAUAUAAGCAUGUUUAAUGGAACUAGUCAGAUGCAGAGCCACUAGCAUGGAUCCUCCAAAAUCAGGAGCAGCAUAACAAGAGCAUUAUGUUGAUCUUGUACAGACAUCCUUAAAGAUGUCACAUGUAAGUGAACACGUAACAAGGAGUAAUUUAGCCCUAAGACACAGUACAGUAAUAUAGAAGUAAUAUAGUAAUGUAGUAAAUGCAAUUAGUUUCUAUCUUCUGCCAGAAAUGUCAGUGCGGUUCAGUGGUUUUAUUUAAGAGUUUGCUCAGCUACUUUGUCAUUUACCUCUUAUAUUGUAAGUUUCCUUGCUUUUUGAAUUCAGCUCCAGUAUUUGAAUAUACAAAAUGACGUGGGGUCAGAUAUGUACUCUGAAAUGUGAAAUCGUGUAAACACAUUUUUAUUUGGGCUCCUUUUUAGGUUUCGGCACAGAUGGAGCCUGUGAUAACUCAAUAGCGAUGGUAUUUUGUCUUCAUCUUAAGCCAGGAUCUGACAUAUUCUUCACUUACAGUAGGUGCUGAAGGAAGCUUAGGUUAAUGUGUAAAAUAAUUGGUUCUUUGAACAGUUGGGCACAGUCUCAAUUAGUUCCAGUUUCAGUAUCAGGUUUCUCUUAAUCAGAGGGAAGUACUGUCUUUCUCUGACACUCUGAACACACUGGAAUUGGUUGGAGAGAAUAUGCUUUGAGCAAUGCAAUGUAGAAGCAAAUGUUCCGUGUUAUAAGUAACAUGCAGUUAGGCAAUAAACUAAACUCAUAGAGCUUAUUUGUGUUGCGUCAUGUCAGGAUGAACUAUGAACUUUUGUGCCCUGAUUCCAAUGAUCUCAUUUUUUUCUGGGACAGAAUGUAUUUAAAGUAAAAUAGUUCAUUUUGAACAUGACAUAAAUAUACAUGGAAAGUUAAUUGUUUUGAUUUUUUUUUUUUUUUUUGAAUUUUUAACUGAAUACAAAAUUCUCCUCUACAGUAUGAAGAAAUGAAGUUUUGUUUGGGCCAUUAUUGGUGGCCCAAAACAUCAAAAAAUGCUUAACCAAAUAAAAAGUUAAAAAAG